rnacentral:rRNA from 1 species
GACGAACGCUGGCGGCGUGCUUAACACAUGCAAGUCGAACGGCAACGCCCUGCUUUUGUUGGGUGCUCGAGUGGCGAACGGGUGUGUAACACGUGAGUAACCUCCCCUUGACUUUGUGAUAUCUUCAGGAAACUGGGGCUAAUACCGGAUAGGAGCUCCUGCUGCAUGGUGGGGGUUGGAAAGUUUCGGCGGUUGGGGAUGGACUCGGGGCUUAUCAGCUUGUUGGUGGGGUAGUGGCUUACCAAGGCAUUGACGGGUAGCCGGCCUGAGAGGGUGACCGGCGACAUGGGGACUGAGAUACGGCGCAGACUGCUACGGGAGGCAGCAGUGGGGAAUAUUGCACAAUGGGCGGGAGCGUGAUGCAGCAGCGCCGCGUGCGGGAUGACGGCCUGCGGGUUGUAAACCGCUUUCGCCUGUGACGAAGCGUGAGUGACGGUAAUGUGUAAAGAAGCACCGGCUAACUACGUG